GAUGAACGCUGGCGGCGUGCUUAACACAUGCAAGUCGAACGGGAAAUAUUUCAUUGAGACUUCGGUGGAUUUGAUUUAUUUCUAGUGGCGGACGGGUGAGUAACGCGUGGGUAACCUGCCUUAUACAGGGGGAUAACAGUCAGAAAUGGCUGCUAAUACCGCAUAAGCGCACAGAGCUGCAUGGCUCAGUGUGAAAAACUCCGGUGGUAUAAGAUGGACCCGCGUUGGAUUAGCUAGUUGGUGGGGUAACGGCCCACCAAGGCGACGAUCCAUAGCCGGCCUGAGAGGGUGAACGGCCACAUUGGGACUGAGACACGGCCCAGACUCCUACGGGAGGCAGCAGUGGGGAAUAUUGCACAAUGGGGGAAACCCUGAUGCAGCGACGCCGCGUGAAGGAAGAAGUAUCUCGGUAUGUAAACUUCUAUCAGCAGGGAGGGUAGUGACGGUACCUGACUAAGAAGCCCCGGCUAACUACGUG
rnacentral:rRNA from 1 species